rnacentral:tRNA from 3 species
GCGGAAGUAGCUCAAUCGGUAGAGCGUAAGCUUGCCAAGUUUAAAGUCGAGGGUUCAAAUCCCUUCUUUCGCU